rnacentral:rRNA from 1 species
CCGGCGACCGGCGCACGGGUGAGUAACACGUAUGCAACCUGGCCGUCACAGGUGGAUAACCGGAAGAAAUUCCGACUAAUACAGCCUAACACUCCUGAGGGACAUCCUUCGGGAGUCAAAGGAGGCAACUCCGGUGACGGAUGGGCAUGCGGCGCAUUAGGUAGUUGGUAGGGUAACGGCCUACCAAGCCGACGAUGCGUAGGGGUUCUGAGAGGAAGGUCCCCCACAUUGGAACUGAGACACGGUCCAAACUCCUACGGGAGGCAGCAG